GUGCCAGCCGCCGCGGUAAGACGUAGGGGGCGAGCGUUGUCCGGAUUUAUUGGGCGUAAAGAGCGCGUAGGCGGCCCGUUAAGUCGGAUGUGAAAACCCGUGGCUCAACCACGGGCCUGCAUCCGAUACUGGCGGGCUCGAGGCAGGCAGGGGAGAUCGGAAUUCCUGGUGUAGCGGUGAAAUGCGCAGAUAUCAGGAGGAACACCGGUGGCGAAGGCGGAUCUCUGGGCCUGUCCUGACGCUCAGGCGCGAAAGCUAGGGGAGCAAACAGGAUUAGAAACCCCAGUAGUCC
rnacentral:rRNA from 1 species